rnacentral:rRNA from 1 species
CAAACUGGGAUUAGAUACCCCACUAUGCCUAGCCUUAAACACAAAUAGUUAUAUAAACAAAACUAUUCGCCAGAGUACUACCGGCAACAGCUUAAAACUCAAAGGACUUGGCGGUGCUUUAUACCCUUCUAGAGGAGCCUGUUCUAUAAUCGAUAAACCCCGAUAAACCUCACCAUUCCUUGCUAAUUCAGUCUAUAUACCGCCAUCUUCAGCAAACCCUAAAAAGGUACAAAAGUAAGCACAAUCAUAGCACAUAAAGACGUUAGGUCAAGGUGUAACCUAUGGAGUGGAAAGAAAUGGGCUACAUUUUCUAAUAUAAGAAAAUCUAACACGAAAGUUAUUAUGAAAUUAAUAACCAAAGGAGGAUUUAGCAGUAAACUAAGAAUAGAGUGCUUAGUUGAAUUAGGCCAUGAAGCACGCACACACCGCCCGUCACCCUC